rnacentral:rRNA from 1 species
AUGGGCAUGCGUUCCAUUAGGUAGUUGGGUUAGGGGUAACGGCCUACCAAGCCUACGAUGGAUAGGGGUUCUGAGAGGAAAGGUCCCCCCACACUGGUACUGAGACACGGACCAGACUCCUACGGGAGGCAGCAGUGAGGAAUAUUGGUCAAUGGGCGCAAGCCUGAUCCAGCCAAGUCGCGUGCAGGAUGACUGCCCUAUGGGUUGUAAACUGCUUUUACCCGGGGAAUAAAGGUCGCUACGUGUAGCGCGAUGAAUGUACCUGGGGAAUAAGCAUCGGCUAACUCCGUGCCAGCAGCCGCGGUAAUACGGAGGAUGCGAGCGUUAUCCGGAUUUAUUGGGUUUAAAGGGUGCGUAGGUGGGUUUUUAAGUCAGUGGUGAAAGUUUGUCGCUCAACGAUAAAAUUGCCAUUGAAACUGGGGACCUUGAGUAUGUUUGAGGUAGGCGGAAUGUGUGGUGUAGCGGUGAAAUGCAUAGAUAUCACGCAGAACUCCGAUUGCGAAGGCAGCUUACUAAACCAUAACUGACACUGAGAGCACGAAAGCGUGGGGAUCAAACAGGAUUAGAUACCCUGGUAGUCCACGCCGUAAACGAUGAUAACUAGGAGUUAGCGAUAGACAGUUAGCUCAACAGCGAAAGCGUUAAGUUAUCCACCUGGGGAGUAC